AGAGGAGACGGGAGAGAGACACCACACACACACGGCACAAGAUGGCCGGAGAGGCAGCAGCACCCCGAGCUGUCAGGCGUUCCGCCGCGGCCGCGGAGCCCGCCGGCCGGCGAGGACCUACUCCCGGGCGGCCCGCAGACCCGCGGGAGCAAAGCUGCCGUGGCUGGGGGGCGAGGCGGGCCGCGCGCCGGGCUGGGAGCCCGCGGCAGAGGCGCCCGGGGCGGCCGGGCCCACGACGCGGAGAGCGUCGCUGCGGCAGCGGCCGCCGAGGCUCCCCGGGGCCCCGGCGGCCCGACCCGUACGGGCGGGAGGCUCGGGCGGGCGCCCUGGCGCGGGAGUCGGGUGCAGGCGACCAGGAGGGGUCGGCCGCGGCGUUCGGACCCGGUAACUUACAAGAUUAAAAUUAAAUUUGGUUGACGAUGAUUCUGAACAAAUACGCUGUUUUAUUUGAGGUAUGCCAUUUUGAAGACUGAGACCAUGGAAUUUUAUCCUUGAGGAUAAAUCUUUGUGAUAGUCUCUAUUUUGUAUAGCAAGAGUAUGAAUCCUGAAGCUGAAUUACCUAAGGGGCCUCUACACCGAAGUGAAAUAGAUGUUGGUGGAAGCAUUUACACCCAGUCAGCUUGAAGAGUCUCAAAUGGACCCUACCACUGAGAAAUCAAGAUGGCAGUCCACUAUGGGGAAUUGAGAAAAAUGGAUUAAUACAAGAGUGCUGUGAUAUUAUACAACCAAGACAGGGUUCUUUUAACAUGGAUUUCAUGAAAUGAAUGAAGAUAUAGGUUUCUUAACAGCACAAAUGGACAGUGAAUUUCACUUUCUAGAGACUUUUUGUAUCGCUAAUAUUUUUGACAUUUGGAGAAAAAGAUGGCACAUUAUUAACAGAUGAUAGUUUGUAUGCCUGGAAUUUUUUCAGUUUGAUUUGUAUGAGUAUGACCUUGUGGAAUGUUAACUUUAAUAAAAUUUCUAACACUUUAAAA